rnacentral:rRNA from 1 species
GACGAACGCUGGCGGCGUGCUUAACACAUGCAAGUCGAACGGAAAGGCCCUGCUUUUGUGGGGUGCUCGAGUGGCGAACGGGUGAGUAACACGUGAGUAACCUGCCCUUGACUUUGGGAUAACUUCAGGAAACUGGGGCUAAUACCGGAUAGGAGCUCCUGCUGCAUGGUGUGGGUUGGAAAGUUUCGGCGGUUGUGGAUGGACUCGCGGCUUAUCAGCUUGUUGGGGGGGUAGUGGCUUACCAAGGCUUUGACGGGUAGCCGGCCUGAGAGGGGUACCGGCCACAUUGCGACUGAGAUACGGCGCAGACUCCUACGGGAGGCAGUAGGGGGGAGUAUUGCACAAUGGGCGGAAGCCUGAGGCAGAAACGCCGCGUGCGGGAUGACGGCCUUCGGGUUGUAAACCGCUUUCGCAUGUGACGAAGCGUGAGUGACGGUAAUGGGUAAAGAAGCACCGGCUAACUACGUG